GUGAAUCAUCGAAUCUUUGAACGCAAAUUGCGCCCCAGGCCUCGGCCAAAGGCAUGCCUGCCUCAGCGUCGGCUUCACCCCUCCUUUUCUCCCGUUGUGGGCAGAAAAGGGACCUGGCCGUCUCGGCGCCCCGCGCCGGGUCGGCCGAAGCACAGAGGCUCGCACAGGACCCGCUCAAACGGGCAACAGUCUGGUAGGUGGCUUUCCUAAGCCGCAUGCCGCUGGUGCCCCGUGGGCACUGUCGAGCCCGCAGGAACUGCUUUCCUUUUUCAAACUAAAAAGGAAGCAGCCUCUCAUCAU
rnacentral:misc_RNA from 1 species